rnacentral:lncRNA from 1 species
AUGAUAUCUGGAACUGUGGAGGGGAAGGAGGGAAGGGGGAAGGAAGGAGGAGGGAGGGAGGGGGAGGGGAAUGGGAACGGGGAGGGAGGGAGAGAGGGGAGGGGAGGGGAGGAGGGGGACUGGAGGGGAACCCAGGAGCAGGAAGGGAGGAGUGAGGGGGAAGCCAGGGAUUUACUUGCUGCACUUGGGACUAAUAUUCCAACAAGUGAGAGGUGGCUUUCUGAGAGUCAGGAGGUGACCGACCCCAACCACAAGCAGGUUCGGUGGUUGGAGCAGCCAGCAGGGGUGUCAAAGGACUGGCCCCUGGCUCCCCAAAAGUGUAGCCCCUCUCUGUGCAUCAAUGGGCUCAGGGCCCACCCCACCCCCAGGCAGUGGACCCCAAGAUCCCCCCUCCUGGCUCUGUAUUUUCAUUCAUCUGAUCAGCAGGAGGCAUGUCUGGCUUGCCAGGAGGACCCACAUGUGCUGUGUGUCUAUAGCGCUUCCCUCCUCCCCAACCCCUGUCCCCUCCCUAUCCCCUGGGUUCCUCUCCCCAUCCCCAAGUUCCCCUCCCUGUCCACCGUCCACUCCCCAUCCCUGAAUUGCUCUGUGCAGCACUUCAGACCACCUACUAGAAAGGGCAAGGAGCCCAAAGUGAACUUUCUGAGGACCCGCCUGCCCCAAAUGCCUCUGUUCCAGCUCCUGGAGGGGCGGGAGGACGCAGUCCUGUGGGGCUGGGACUUGGCUGCUGACACUGUCGCCUGGUCCUGGGCUGGGCCUGCCCACAGGAGUGCCAGGGCAGAGGGAGGGCACACACACAGCUCACCUGCUCUAAGUCGCAGGCACCCACAGGGUGGGAGAGCAUGCAGGAUCCUGGGAUGGCCUAUUCCGCUGGAGCUCCAAGGGCCUUGUGGGGGCUCUGAGCAGAGUCUGGUCCAGGGGGGGAGGGGGGCCUCUGGGCCGCGCUGCCCCCUCCUGAAGGCCAUCCCCAGCCACACUCCACUCUGCUCUGCGGAGUGCCUUCUGCCUCUUCCAGGGUCGCUCCCAACAUCCAGGACGGCCCAGGUGCCCUCCCCACCCAGUCCGGAGAAAGGAGGCACUGGGGGAGAGGGUGGCCCUGUCACUCUGUCCUGCGCAGCCACGGCAUUGUAG